rnacentral:misc_RNA from 1 species
GAAUUGCGAUAUGUAAUGUGAAUUGCAGAAUUCAGUGAAUCAUCGAAUCUUUGAACGCACAUUGCACCCUCUGGUAUUCCGGAGGGUAUGCCUGUUUGAGUGUCAUUAACAUAUCAGCACAGACAAGUUUUCCAGGACUUGCUCUGCUGCUUGGAGGUUGAAGGUCUGCUGGCCAUGACCACUGCCAGCUCCUUUUAAAUGCAUUAGCAGGAACAAUGUAGAACUGGCUUCAGUUUGAUAAGAUUUGAACUGCUGCUAAGGUCUCACUCAUGAUGCUCCAGCUUCUAACAGUCCAGUUCACUGGACUGCCUCAUGUCGAGGCAAUUCAUGAUGACAGUUUGGCCUCAAAUCAGGUAGGACUACCCGCUGAACUUAA